AGUCGAGCGAAGCACCUUGACGGAUUUCUUCGGAUUGAAGCCUUGGUGACUGAGCGGCGGACGGGUGAGUAACGCGUGGGUAACCUGCCUCAUACAGGGGGAUAACAGUUGGAAACGGCUGCUAAUACCGCAUAAGCGCACAGUACCGCAUGGUACGGUGUGAAAAACUCCGGUGGUAUGAGAUGGACCCGCGUCUGAUUAGGUAGUUGGUGGGGUAACGGCCUACCAAGCCGACGAUCAGUAGCCGACCUGAGAGGGUGACCGGCCACAUUGGGACUGAGACACGGCCCAAACUCCUACGGGAGGCAGCAGUGGGGAAUAUUGCACAAUGGGGGAAACCCUGAUGCAGCGACGCCGCGUGAGCGAUGAAGUAUUUCGGUAUGUAAAGCUCUAUCAGCAGGGAAGAAAAUGACGGUACCUGACUAAGAAGCCCCGGCUAACUACGUGCCAGCAGCCGCGGUAAUACGUAGGGGGCAAGCGUUAUCCGGAUUUACUGGGUGUAAAGGGAGCGUAGACGGCAUGGCAAGCCAGAUGUGAAAGCCCGGGGCUCAACCCCGGGACUGCAUUUGGAACUGUCAGGCUAGAGUGUCGGAGAGGAAAGCGGAAUUCCUAGUGUAGCGGUGAAAUGCGUAGAUAUUAGGAGGAACACCAGUGGCGAAGGCGGCUUUCUGGACGAUGACUGACGUUGAGGCUCGAAAGCGUGNGGAGCAAACAGGAUUAGNUACCCUGGUAGUCCACGCCGU
rnacentral:rRNA from 1 species